rnacentral:sRNA from 1 species
GGGGAAUUUUCCGCAAUGGGCGCAAGCCUGACGGAGCAAUACCGCGUGAGGGAGGAAGGCUCUUGGGUCGUAAACCUCUUUUCUCAGGGAAGAACACAAUGACGGUACCUGAGGAAUCAGCAUCGGCUAACUCCGUGCCAGCAGCCGCGGUAAUACGGAGGAUGCAAGCGUUAUCCGGAAUGAUGGGGCGUAAAGCGUCCGUAGGUGGUUAUGUAAGUCUGUGGUUAAAGCGUGGGGCUCACCCCCAUAAGGGCCAUGGAAACUACAAAAUUUGAGUAAAGUAGGGGUAGAGGGAAUUCCCAGUGUAGCGGUAAAAUGCGUAAAUUUUGGAAAAAACACCGGUGGCAAAAGCGCUCUUCUGGACUUAAACUGACACUGAGGGACGAAUGCUAGGGGAGCAAAGGGGAUUAUAUCCCCCUGUAGUCCUACCCGUAAACGAUGGAUACUAGGUGUUGCCGGUAUCGACCCGGGCAGUGCCUUAUUUAACGCGUUAUGUAUCCCCCCCUGGGGAGUACGCACGCAUGUGUGAAACUCAGAGGAUUUGACGGGGGCCCGCACAAGCGGUGGAGUAUGUGUUUUAAUUCGAUGCAACGCAAAGAACCUUACCAGGUUUUGACGUGUCUAGAUUUUCUGCGAAAGUAGAAAGUGCCUUCGGGAGCUAGAACACGGGUGGUGCAUGGCUGUCGUCAGCUCGUGUCGAGAGAUGUUGGGUUAAGUCCCGCAACGAGCGCCACCUCUCUUUGUUAGUUGCCAUCAUUCAUGUUGGGCACUCUAGCAAGACUGCCGGUGACAAACCGGAGGAAGGUGGGGGAUGACGUCAAUCAGCAUGCCCUUUACUCCUUGGGCUACCACGUACUACAAUGCUCUGGACAAAGGGCAGCCAACCAGGCGAUGGUGCGCUAAUCCCAUAAACCAGGGCUCAGUUCAGAUUGCAGGCUGCAACUCGCCUGCAUGAAGGCGGAAUCGCUAGUAAUCGCAGGUCAGCAUACUGCGGUGAAUCCGUUCCCGGGCCUUGUACACACCGCCCGUCACACCAUGGGAGUUGGUCACGCCCGAAGUCGUUACUCUAACCCUUGUGGAAGAGGACGCCGAAGGUAGGGCUGAUGACUGGGGUGAAGUCGUAACAAGGUAGCCGUACCGGAAGGUGUGGCUGGAUCACCUCCUUUUAGGGAGACCUCACAACAUGUUGACCGAAACACACCGGAUUAAGUCACAUGUCUGUUAUCCCAAGGUCGAGCGGUUUUGAUGAGAGGGCUUUCAAACCUUAUAUUCUAGUUCAGCUUGCUCUGGGCUAUUAGCUCAGUGGUAGAGCACACCCCUGAUAAGGGUGCGGUCUCUGGUUCAAGUCCAGAAUAGCCCACUUAUCCAAGGCAACUGGUGAACACUAACUAGUCAACUUAAGUGAUGAUAGUGAGUUAAUGAAACUCGGGGGUUUAGCUCAGUUGGUAGAGCGCCUGCUUUGCAAGCAGGAUGUCAGCGGUUCGAGUCCGCUAACCUCCAUCGGGGGCACCAACAACAAAAGUUAGAGCACUCAACUAGAAUAGACACCGCCAACACCGGAACUGAAUUCAGCACCUACUAAUUGAGUAGUCUGCUGGGCUCACAAGUCCAGUUCGCACCUUGACAACUGCAUAAUAAUCAACAGUCAGGUAGUCGCAAUGUAAGUUACAGACAAUCCAAACAUAAAUCAUUGAAACUUGUGAGGUAAGUUCUAGGUUCGAUUAGUUAAUUAACCGCACCGAAGACAACCGCACAAAGUGGUCAAGCUACAAAGGGCUUACGGCGGAUACCUAGGCACACAGAGGCGAAGA